UUUUAAAGGUGCCACAGGGCAGCACUAGUAAAAUGAUGGAACAGCUCAAAUUUGAAAUCUGGCUCCGCUCUGGGGUCCGAGUUGUACUUUGCAGAGGGCGCUUUGGCGUCGGCAGCAGUCUAAGUUCCUUGGAACAGGACGUCACAGAGGGUGAGAAUCCCGUACGUGGCUGCGUGCCUUCGCCGUGUAAAGCCCCUUCGACGAGUCGUGUUGUUUGGGAAUGCAGCACUAAAUGGGAGGUAAAUUUCUUCUAAAGCUAAAUACUGGCCAGAGACCGAUAGCGCACAAGUAGAGUGAUCGAAAGAUGAAAAGCACUUUGGAAAGAGAGUCAAAUAGCACGUGAAAUUGUUGAAAGGGAAGCGCUUGCAGCCAGACUUGCCUGCGGUUGCUCAUCCGGGCUCUUGCCCGGUGCACUCUUCCGCAGGCAGGCCAGCAUCAGUUUGGGCGACUGGAGAAAGGCCUCUGUCAUGUAUCUUCCUUCGGGAUGACCUUAUAGGGGAGGCGUAAUGCAGCCAGUCCGAACUGAGGUCCGCGCAUCUGCUAGGAUGCUGGCGUAAUGGCUGUAAGCGGCCCGUCUUGAAACACGGACCAAGGAGUCUAACAUCUAUGCGAGUGUUUGGGUGUCAAGCCCGAGCGCGCAAUGAAAGUGAACGGAGGUGGGAACCCUCGGGUGCACCAUCGACCGAUCCUGAUGUCUUCGGAUGGAUUUGAGUAAGAGCAUAGCUGUUGGGACCCGAAAGAUGGUGAACUAUGCUUGAAUAGGGUGAAGCCAGAGGAAACUCUGGUGGAGGCUCGCAGCGGUUCUGACGUGCAAAUCGAUCGUCAAAUUUGGGCAUAGGGGCGAAAGACUAAUCCAACUAUCUCGUAGCUGGUUCUGCGAAUUUCCUCCGCCCGAAAAAGAGGAAAAAGGGGGUUUCCCCAAUUUACAAAGACCUCUUGCCCCUUUUCCCAAAAUUUGACAAAU
rnacentral:rRNA from 1 species